rnacentral:rRNA from 1 species
AUGAACGCUAGCUACAGGCUUAACACAUGCAAGUCGAGGGGCAGCAUUUUAGUUUGCUUGCAAACUGAAGAUGGCGACCGGCGCACGGGUGAGUAACACGUAUCCAACCUGCCGAUAACUCCGGAAUAGCCUUUCGAAAGAAAGAUUAAUACCGGAUAGCAUACGAAUAUCGCAUGAUAUUUUUAUUAAAGAAUUUCGGUUAUCGAUGGGGAUGCGUUCCAUUAGUUUGUUGGCGGGGUAACGGCCCACCAAGACUACGAUGGAUAGGGGUUCUGAGAGGAAGGUCCCCCACAUUGGAACUGAGACACGGUCCAAACUCCUACGGGAGGCAGCAGUGAGGAAUAUUGGUCAAUGGGCGAGAGCCUGAACCAGCCAAGUAGCGUGAAGGAUGAAGGCUCUAUGGGUCGUAAACUUCUUUUAUAUGGGAAUAAAGUUUUCCACGUGUGGAAUUUUGUAUGUACCAUAUGAAUAAGGAUCGGCUAACUCCGUGCCAGCAGCCGCGGUAAUACGGAGGAUCCGAGCGUUAUCCGGAUUUAUUGGGUUUAAAGGGAGCGUAGGUGGAUUGUUAAGUCAGUUGUGAAAGUUUGCGGCUCAACCGUAAAAUUGCAGUUGAAACUGGCAGUCUUGAGUACAGUAGAGGUGGGCGGAAUUCGUGGUGUAGCGGUGAAAUGCUUAGAUAUCACGAAGAACUCCGAUUGCGAAGGCAGCUCACUAGACUGUCACUGACACUGAUGCUCGAAAGUGUGGGUAUCAAACAGGAUUAGAUACCCUGGUAGUCCACACAGUAAACGAUGAAUACUCGCUGUUUGCGAUAUACAGCAAGCGGCCAAGCGAAAGCGUUAAGUAUUCCACCUGGGGAGUACGCCGGCAACGGUGAAACUCAAAGGAAUUGACGGGGGCCCGCACAAGCGGAGGAACAUGUGGUUUAAUUCGAUGAUACGCGAGGAACCUUACCCGGGCUUAAAUUGCAACAGAAUAUAUUGGAAACAGUAUAGCCGUAAGGCUGUUGUGAAGGUGCUGCAUGGUUGUCGUCAGCUCGUGCCGUGAGGUGUCGGCUUAAGUGCCAUAACGAGCGCAACCCUUAUCUUUAGUUACUAACAGGUUAUGCUGAGGACUCUAGAGAGACUGCCGUCGUAAGAUGUGAGGAAGGUGGGGAUGACGUCAAAUCAGCACGGCCCUUACGUCCGGGGCUACACACGUGUUACAAUGGGGGGUACAGAAGGCGGCUACCUGGUGACAGGAUGCUAAUCCCAAAAACCUCUCUCAGUUCGGAUCGAAGUCUGCAACCCGACUUCGUGAAGCUGGAUUCGCUAGUAAUCGCGCAUCAGCCAUGGCGCGGUGAAUACGUUCCCGGGCCUUGUACACACCGCCCGUCAAGCCAUGAAAGCCGGGGGUACCUGAAGUACGUAACCGCAAGGAGCGUCCUAGGGUAAAACUGGUAAUUGGGGCU